rnacentral:tRNA from 1 species
GCGGAAUUAGUAUAGUGGCAGUACAUUAGCUUCCCAAGCUAAGAGCGCCAGUUCGAUUCUGGUAUUCCGCU